rnacentral:lncRNA from 1 species
UUCAAUUUAUUUUCUUUUGUCGGCCUAAUUUAUUAGCCGUUAUAUGAACGUUACCCAGCUGUACGUAGGUCCCACGCGCCACUCUCUCCGCCUAUAAAUAUUCUCCUUCCCCCUCACCGAACCCUAAAUCAAACCAAACCCCAAACAAAGCAAACAAAUUUCUGUCUCCCAAAGAAAUUUUUUUGCUCCUCUCCGCUUCAGAAAAAUGGCUCAAGUUAGCAUCAUGAAGGCUCUUUUGGUCGCUUUAUUCAUGGCAUUCUUAACCGCCGCCACGGCACAAGUUAGUGAGGCGCCUUCUCCGUCUCCAGACGCCGGUGCCGGUUUCUCCGUGGGCGUUUCCACCGCUGCUGUUGGGUUUUCUUUGGUUGUGUCUCUUCUUGCUUUGUUGAAAGCUUAAAUUUAUGGGAUUUUUUUUUUGGGUGGUCUUUUUGUACCAUUGAUUUAUUUUUGGGUUUUGUUUUUAAUUUCAUUCUUUGUUACUUCAUGGGAUUGAUUGUAAUGAAGUUGAUUCAUUGAGUAUUAUUAUUAUAUUUGAGCAUUUUUUUUCUUACAGUAUUCAUUGCCCAAAACAAUCGAUUUGGUAUUUCAGUAUUAAAUUGAAAAUAAUUCGAUUGGAUCCAAUUCUCCUGUCUUUCACUGUUAAUUCGAUUGGAUCCAUUUUAUCAUAAUUUUAACUUUGAAUUUCUUUUAUUUAUGUUUUUCGUCAGUACAGUAUGCUGAUUGUGUUGAAUUGAAAUAAUUUAAAAAACAAUCAAGUUUUUGUUGUAGGAAUUUACUUUCAGUACGACUUUUAAAAGUUAAUAAAGAAAUGCAAGGUCGGAAACUGC